UGGAGUAUGUGGUUUAAUUCGAUGCAACGCGAGAACCUUGCCUGGGUUGGAAACCCUGGAAUCCUGCAGAGAUGUGGGAGUGCUCUUUUAGAGAAUCAGGUGUCCAGGUGCUGCAUGGUUGUCGUCAGCUCGUGUCGUGAGAUGUUGGGUUAAGUCCCGCAACGAGCGUAACCCCUGUUGUUAGUUGCCAGCGAUUCGGUCGGGCACUCUAACGAGACUGCCGGUGGUAAGCCGGAGGAAGGUGGGGAUGACGUCAAAUCCUCAUGGCCCUUAUGCCCAGGGCUACACACGUACUACAAUGGUCGGUACAAAGGGCUGCGAACCCGCGAGGGGGAGCCAAUCCCAAAAAGCCGACCUCAGUUCGGAUUGUAGUCUGCAACUCGACUACAUGAAGGUGGAAUCGCUAGUAAUCGCGGAUCAGCAUGCCGCGGUGAAUACGUUCCCGGGCCUU
rnacentral:rRNA from 1 species